rnacentral:lncRNA from 1 species
AGCCCCCGAAGGUCGGGGUGCCAACACCCCCCAGCGGAAAAAUGGCCAAAAAACGGGUGGGCUAUAGCCUUGGUGGGGGGCGUGGGCGAAGUUCGUCCACCGGACUCGGAAUGGCCCCAGACUUUGCGGGCGGCUUCCGUGUGCCAAAAAUAGGCCACGGGCAGAGCCGCGCCCAAAAAUCAGCCCCCGAAGGUCGGGGUGCCAAGACCCCCCAGCGGAAAAAUGGCCAAAAAACGGGUGGGCUAUAGCCUUGGUGGGGGGCGUGGGCGAAGUUCGUCCGCCGGACUCGGAAUGGCCCCAGACGUUGCGGGCGGCCUCCGUGUGCCAAAAAUAGGCCACGGGCACAGCCGCGCCCAAAAAUCAGCCCCCGAAGGUCGGGGUGCCAACACCCCCCAGCGGAAAAAUGGCCAAAAAACGGGUGGGCUAUAGCCUUGGUGGGGGGCGUGGGCGAAGUUCGUCCACCGGACUCGGAAUGGCCCCAGACUUUGCGGGCGGCUUCCGUGUGCCAAAAAUAGGCCACGGGCAGAGCCGCGCCCAAAAAUCAGCCCCCGAAGGUCGGGGUGCCAACACCCCCCAGCGGAAAAAUGGCCAAAAAACGGGUGGGCUAUAGCCUUGGUGGGGGGCGUGGGCGAAGUUCGUCCGCCGGACUCGGAAUGGCCCCAGACUUUGCGGGCGGCUUCCGUGUGCCAAAUAUAGGCCACGGGCAGAGCCGCGCCCAAAAAUCAGCCCCCGAAGGUCGAGGCGCCAAGACCCCCCAGCGGAAAAAUGGCCAAAAAACGGGUGGGCUAUAGCCUUGGUGGGGGGCGUGGGCUAAGUUCGUCCGCCGGACUCGGAAUGGCCCCAGACUUUGCGGGCGGCUUCUGUGUGCCAAAAAUAGGCCACGGGCAGAGCCGCGCCCAAAAAUCAGCCCCCGAAGGUCGGGGUGCUAAGACCCCCCAGCGGAAAAAUGGCCAAAAAACGGGUGGGCUAUAGCCUUGGUGGGGGGCGUGGGCGAAGUUCGUCCGCCGGACUCGGAAUGGCCCCAGACUUUGCGGGCGGCCUCCGUGUGCCAAAAACAGGCCACGGGCACACCCGCGCCCAAAAAUCAGCCCCCGAAGGUCGGGGCGCCAAGACCCCCUAGCGGAAAAAUGGCAAAAAAAACGGGUGGGCGGGCUAUAGCCUUGGUGGGGGGCGUGGGCGAAGUUCGUCCGCCGGACUCGGAAUGGCCCCAGACUUUGCGGGCGGCCUCGUGUGCCAAAAACAGGUCACGGGCCACACCUGCUCCCAAAAUCAGCCCUCUGAAGUUCGGGCCGCCAAGACCCCGCAGCGNNNNNNNNNNNNNNNNNNNNNNNNNNNNNNNNNNNNNNNNNNNNNNNNNNNNNNNNNNNNNNNNNNNNNNNNNNNNNNNNNNNNNNNNNNNNNNNNNNNNNNNNNNNNNNNNNNNNNNNNNNNNNNNNNNNNNNNNNNNNNNNNNNAUCAGCCCCGGAAGGUCGGGGCGCCAAGACCCCCCAGCGGAAAAAUGGCCAAAAAACGGGUGGGCUAUAGCCUUGGUGGGGGGCGUGGGCGAAGUUCGUCCGCCGGACUCGGAAUGGCCCCAGAUGUUGCGGGCGGCCUCCGUGUGCCAAAAAUAGGCCACGGGCACAGCCGCGCCCAAAAAUCAGCCCCCGAAGGUCGUGGUGCCAACACCCCCCAGCGGAAAAAUGGCCAAAAAACGGGUGGGCUAUAGCCUUGGUGGGGGGCGUGGGCGAAGUUCGUCCGCCGGACUCGGAAUGGCCCCAGACUUUGCGGGCGGCCUCCGUGUGCCAAAAAUAGGCCACGGGCACAGCCGCGCCCAAAAAUCAGCCCCCGAAGGUCGGGGUGCCAACACCCCCCAGCGGAAAAAUGGCCAAAAAACGGGUGGGCUAUAGCCUUGGUGGGGGGCGUGGGCGAAGUUCGUCCGCCGGACUCGGAAUGGCCCCAGACUUUGCGGGCGGCCUCCGUGUGCCAAAAAUAGGCCACGGGCACAGCCGCGCCCAAAAAUCAGCCCCCGAAGGUCGGGGUGCCAACACCCCCCAGCGGAAAAAUGGCCAAAAAACGGGUGGGCUAUAGCCUUGGUGGGGGGCGUGGGCGAAGUUCGUCCGCCGGACUCGGAAUGGCCCCAGACUUUACGGGCGGCCUCCGUGUGCCAAAAAUAGGCCACGGGCACAGCCGCGCCCAAAAAUCAGCCCCCGAAGGUCGGGGUGCCAACACCCCCCAGCGGAAAAAUGGCCAAAAAACGGGUGGGCUAUAGCCUUGGUGGGGGGCGUGGGCGAAGUUCGUCCGCCGGACUCGGAAUGGCCCCAGACUUUGCGGGCGUCGUCCAUGUGCCAAAAAUAGGCCACGGGCACAGCCGCGCCCAAAAAUCAGCCCCCGAAGGUCGGGGUGCCAACACCCCCCAGCGGAAAAAUGGCCAAAAAACGGGUGGGCUAUAGCCUUGGUGGGGGGCGUGGGCGAAGUACGUCCGCCGGACUCGGAAUGGCCCCAGACUUUGCGGGCGGCCUCCGUGUGCCAAAAACAGGCCACGGGCACACCCGCGCCCAAAAAUCAGCCCCCGAAGGUCGGGGCGCCAAGACCCCCUAGCGGAAAAAUGGCAAAAAAAACGGGUGGGCGGGCUAUAGCCUUGGUGGGGGGCGUGGGCGAAGUUCGUCCGCCGGACUCGGAAUGGCCCCAGACUUUGCGGGCGGCCUCCGUGUGCCAAAAACAGGCCACGGGCACACCCGCGCCCAAAAAUCAGCCCCCGAAGUUCGGGGCGCCAAGACCCCGCAGCGGAAAAAUGGCCAAAAAACGGGUGGGCGGACUAUAGCCUUGGUGGGGGGCGUGGGCGAAGUUCGUCCGCCGGACUCGGAAUGGCCCCAGAAUUUGCGGGCGGCCUCCGUGUGCCAAAAAUAGGCCACGGGCACAGCCGCGCCCAAAAAUCAGCCCCCGAAGGUCGGGGCGCCAAGACCCCCCAGCGGAAAAAUGGCCAAAAAACGGGUGGGCUAUAGCCUUGGUGGGGGGCGUGGGCGAAGUUCGUCCGCCGGACUCGGAAUGGCCCCAGACGUUGCGGGCGGCCUCCGUGUGCCAAAAAUAGGCCACGGGCACAGCCGCGCCCAAAAAUCAGCCCCCGAAGGUCGGGGUGCCAACACCCCCCAGCUGAAAAAUGGCCAAAAAACGGGGGGCUAUAGCCUUGGUGGGGGGCGUGGGCGAAGUUCGUCCGCCGGACUUGGAAUGGCCCCAGACGUUGCGGGCGGCCUCCGUGUGCCAAAAAUAGGCCACGGGCACAGCCGCGCCCAAAAAUCAGCCCCCGAAGGUCGGGGUGCCAACACCCCCCAGCGGAAAAAUGGCCAAAAAACGGGUGGGCUAUAGCCUUGGUGGGGGGCGUGGGCGAAGUUCGUCCGCCGGACUCGGAAUGGCCCCAGACGUUGCGGGCGUCGUCCAUGUGCCAAAAAUAGGCCACGGGCACAGCCGCGCCCAAAAAUCAGCCCCCGAAGGUCGGGGUGCCAACACCCCCCAGCGGAAAAAUGGCCAAAAAACGGGUGGGCUAUAGCCUUGGUGGGGGGCGUGGGCGAAGUACGUCCGCCGGACUCGGAAUGGCCCCAGACUUUGCGGGCGGCCUCCGUGUGCCAAAAACAGGCCACGGGCACACCCGCGCCCAAAAAUCAGCCCCCGAAGGUCGGGGCGCCAAGACCCCCUAGCGGAAAAAUGGCAAAAAAAACGGGUGGGCGGGCUAUAGCCUUGGUGGGGGGCGUGGGCGAAGUUCGUCCGCCGGACUCGGAAUGGCCCCAGACUUUGCGGGCGGCCUCCGUGUGCCAAAAACAGGCCACGGGCACACCCGCGCCCAAAAAUCAGCCCCCGAAGUUCGGGGCGCCAAGACCCCGCAGCGGAAAAAUGGCCAAAAAACGGGUGGGCGGACUAUAGCCUUGGUGGGGGGCGUGGGCGAAGUUCGUCCGCCGGACUCGGAAUGGCCCCAGAAUUUGCGGGCGGCCUCCGUGUGCCAAAAAUAGGCCACGGGCACAGCCGCGCCCAAAAAUCAGCCCCCGAAGGUCGGGGUGCCAACACCCCCCAGCGGAAAAAUGGCCAAAAAACGGGUGGGCUAUAGCCUUGGUGGGGGGCGUGGGCGAAGUUCGUCCGCCGGACUCGGAAUGGCCCCAGACUUUGCGGGCGGCCUCCGUGUGCCAAAAAUAGGCCACGGGCACAGCCGCGCCCAAAAAUCAGCCCCCGAAGGUCGGGGUGCCAACACCCCCCAGCGGAAAAAUGGCCAAAAAACGGGUGGGCUAUAGCCUUGGUGGGGGGCGUGGGCGAAGUUCGUCCGCCGGACUCGGAAUGGCCCCAGACUUUGCGGGCGGCCUCCGUGUGCCAAAAAUAGGCCACGGGCACAGCCGCGCCCAAAAAUCAGCCCCCGAAGGUCGGGGUGCCAACACCCCCCAGCGGAAAAAUGGCCAAAAAACGGGUGGGCUAUAGCCUUGGUGGGGGGCGUGGGCGAAGUUCGUCCGCCGGACUCGGAAUGGCCCCAGACUUUGCGGGCGGCCUCCGUGUGCCAAAAAUAGGCCACGGGCACAGCCGCGCCCAAAAAUCAGCCCCCGAAGGUCGGGGUGCCAACACCCCCCAGCGGAAAAAUGGCCAAAAAACGGGUGGGCUAUAGCCUUGUGGGGGGGCGUGGCAGAAGUUCGUCCGCCGGACUCCGAAUGGCCCCAGACUUUGCGGGCGGCCUCCGUGUGCCAAAAACAGGCCAGGGGCACACCCGCGCCCAAAAAUCAGCCCCCGAAGGUCGGGGCGCCAAGACCCCCUAGCGGAAAAAUGGCAAAAAAAACGGGUGGGCGGGCUAUAGCCUUGGUGGGGGGCGUGGGCGAAGUUCGUCCGCCGGACUCGGAAUGGCCCCAGACUUUGCGGGCGGCCUCCGUGUGCCAAAAACAGGCCACGGGCACACCCGCGCCCAAAAAUCAGCCCCCGAAGUUCGGGGCGCCAAGACCCCGCAGCGGAAAAAUGGCCAAAAAACGGGUGGGCGGACUAUAGCCUUGGUGGGGGGCGUGGGCGAAGUUCGUCCGCCGGACUCGGAAUGGCCCCAGAAUUUGCGGGCGGCCUCCGUGUGCCAAAAAUAGGCCACGGGCACAGCCGCGCCCAAAAAUCAGCCCCCGAAGGUCGGGGCGCCAAGACCCCCCAGCGGAAAAAUGGCCAAAAAACGGGUGGGCUAUAGCCUUGGUGGGGGGCGUGGGCGAAGUUCGUCCGCCGGACUCGGAAUGGCCCCAGACGUUGCGGGCGGCCUCCGUGUGCCAAAAAUAGGCCACGGGCACAGCCGCGCCCAAAAAUCAGCCCCCGAAGGUCGGGGUGCCAACACCCCCCAGCUGAAAAAUGGCCAAAAAACGGGGGGCUAUAGCCUUGGUGGGGGGCGUGGGCGAAGUUCGUCCGCCGGACUUGGAAUGGCCCCAGACGUUGCGGGCGGCCUCCGUGUGCCAAAAAUAGGCCACGGGCACAGCCGCGCCCAAAAAUCAGCCCCCGAAGGUCGGGGUGCCAACACCCCCCAGCGGAAAAAUGGCCAAAAAACGGGUGGGCUAUAGCCUUGGUGGGGGGCGUGGGCGAAGUUCGUCCGCCGGACUCGGAAUGGCCCCAGACUUUGCGGGCGGCUUCCGUGUGCCAAAAAUAGGCCACGGGCAGAGCCGCGCCCAAAAAUCAGCCCCCGAAGGUCGGGGUGCCAAGACCCCCCAGCGGAAAAAUGGCCAAAAAACGGGUGGGCUAUAGCCUUGGUGGGGGGCGUGGGCGAAGUUCGUCCGCCGGACUCGGAAUGGCCCCAGACGUUGCGGGCGGCCUCCGUGUGCCAAAAAUAGGCCACGGGCACAGCCGCGCCCAAAAAUCAGCCCCCGAAGGUCGGGGUGCCAACACCCCCCAGCGGAAAAAUGGCCAAAAAACGGGUGGGCUAUAGCCUUGGUGGGGGGCGUGGGCGAAGUUCGUCCGCCGGACUCGGAAUGGCCCCAGACUUUGCGGGCGGCUUCCGUGUGCCAAAAAUAGGCCACGGGCAGAGCCGCGCCCAAAAAUCAGCCCCCGAAGGUCGGGGUGCCAAGACCCCCCAGCGGAAAAAUGGCCAAAAAACGGGUGGGCUAUAGCCUUGGUGGGGGGCGUUGGCGAAGUUCGUCCGCCGGACUCGGAAUGGCCCCAGACGUUGCGGGCGGCCUCCGUGUGCCAAAAAUAGGCCACGGGCACAGCCGCGCCCAAAAAUCAGCCCCCGAAGGUCGGGGUGCCAACACCCCCCAGCGGAAAAAUGGCCAAAAAACGGGUGGGCUAUAGCCUUGGUGGGGGGCGUGGGCGAAGUUCGUCCGCCGGACUCGGAAUGGCCCCAGACUUUGCGGGCGGCCUCCGUGUGCCAAAAAUAGGCCACGGGCACAGCCGCGCCCAAAAAUCAGCCCCCGAAGGUCGGGGUGCCAACACCCCCCAGCGGAAAAAUGGCCAAAAAACGGGUGGGCUAUAGCCUUGGUGGGGGGCGUGGGCGAAGUUCGUCCGCCGGACUCGGAAUGGCCCCAGACUUUGCGGGCGGCCUCCGUGUGCCAAACAUAGGCCACGGGCACAGCCGCGCCCAAAAAUCAGCCCCCGAAGGUCGGGGUGCCAACACCCCCCAGCGGAAAAAUGGCCAAAAAACGGGUGGGCUAUAGC